GUGCACGCUCCUUGCGGACCUCAGGAACCCCAGGCGCCGGCGCCCCAAACUCCUCCUUCCCGGACACGCGGAGGCGCGCGCGAGGCGCUCGGGGCCGCGGCGCGGGGGCUGCGGGCCGGGAGGACUGCGGGCCGGCCCCCACGGGCCGCGCGCCAAGGGCCCCGCCCGGCGCCGCCAGCUCUGGCAGGUAGUGCUGCCACAUCCACAGCCUCGCUCUGCCUCCCGCCGCCCCGCCCCCCCGGCGCUGCGGACCGGGAUGCGCCGCGCCCCUGCCCGCCGCGGCUGCGCGCCGGCCCGCGGGACCCGCCGCCGGCCACCUCCCCGGGCCGCGGAGGCACAGCCCACCCGCCCGCCGAGGCCCAGCGCGCCCCUCAGCCCGCUCCCCGGAGCCCCUCCCGGAGCCGCCCGCCUCGCCGGCCGCUGUCGGCGGCGCCCCGGCCCCGCCCGAGCCCCCGCCCCGCCGCGCCGACGCGGAUACCCGGCAGCGCCUCCGACACCAGCGGGGACACGCGGCGCCGUCUGAGAGAUAGCGGCAGUGACCGCGCGUCACGGAGCUUAAGGCGCGGCUUCCGCCCCGCCCCGCAAGACGCCCUUGCCGCCCAUUGGCUGGCGGCGGAGGGCUGGGCACCAAUCGCCGUGGCCCGCCCUCUGCCGCCCACCCCGCAGCCGCGCGUAGCGGACCCCGCCAGGGCCCAGAGUUCGAGCCGCGCUGGCGCCUGCUGGGCGGGGCUGCUGGGGGCCGCCGCCCGGGCCCUGCGCUCGGGCGCCCACCUGGCCAGUGCCUUUCCCUCGGUCGCUCACUGCCCUCCCUUUACUGACAAGAAGACGAGACCCGAAGGGAUGAAACGUCGAUUGGGCCCCCUUGGGCUCGCGGCGUUUCCUGGGCCCCCCCGGACAGCGGGCUCGACAUCCAACCCAGCGCUCCCCUGCAGUGCUCCCCGCCCCUGGCCUCGCAGAGCCGUACGUGGGCGCCGACCCAGCCUCGCCCCAGACGCAGCUCCGGGCCCCACGCCCCUGAACCCUGGUGUGCAGCAACGCUGUGGCACUUCUGAGUCCACCCCCAGACGUCCUCACUGCAGCUGGAAAACGCGCUGCCCACGUCCUCGUGGUGCUGAUGGAUACUUACACAACUGCAACGCACUCAGUGAAGUUUGUCUACGGCGCCCUCCGCAACCCGACAUAAAACUCAAAACUCAAAAUGAUGGUCCGGGAUAACCUCCUGUUCGAAUUGGAAGGGACUGGGGCAUGAUUUAGUCUACACCAUUUUUGUUGUAUACUAGGAAACAGAGCCUGGGAGAGGGGAAGAGACUUACGGGGGGUUAUCCCAGGGUGAGGAGCAGCCCAGCCCUGUGUACCACCACCCUGCUCUGACAGCAGUCGCAGAGCUGCAGGGACAGAGGACUGCAGGUCACCUGUGGUGGUCAAGGGCCCAGCCAGCACAAGUCUGGAAAUUUGAGGUGUAUUUGUUUAAAGGAAUUGCUUAAGUGUGGACAGAUAAACCACAAGGGGUGGAGAAGUAACCCGCGGCUAGUGCACCAGGGAGAGCCAUUGUCAAUCCUAGGCCUAAAGGGAGUGGUUUCCUGAACCUAGAGUGAGAAAGAAGGGAGAAGCCACGUGCCUGGGCCAUGGUCAUGAGAGAGCUCACAGGGAGGAAGCGGGGUGGUAAGCAUUCUGACCUCUCAUCUCCUGCCAGAGUUCUCCAAUAAGCCCAACCCACUAGGAACCCAGAGACCUAGGGAGCCAUUUAAGGCAGCCCCUGCAAGUCAGCCUCCUGGGACACAGCCAGGGUGGGGAAGGCGGGAGAGCAGAUUCUGUGGGAGGGCAAAUGGCAGACAUUCAACACACAUAGCCAGCUAAGAUAAGUCUUAGCUAAGUAGAAAGCUAUAUGGCAGUGCCUGGAAAAUGGGGUGGGCGCAGAGGCAGAGCUGUGAACAGCAGAGCCCAUGUCUGCAGGUGUCUGUCCGGAGCAAGACGCCAAAAGGGAUUCAGUCCUCCUUGAUUGCAUCUGCCCUAGACCAAGGCCACUCACUCGGACGGUUGUGGCCGUGCCCUCUCAUGCAGAGUAGGACUUUGCCUUUUAUUUUUUUGCUGGCCCUCCACACCCCUGAUACAGAGUGAUUAAUUUCUUGGAAGCUGGGUCGUUCUGCCCAAGGGAUCAGAGAAGAAGAUUUCUCCAACGUCCUGCUCUACCAACCUGGGCAGGUGUGUGGGGCCCAGCCCAGCUCUUGGAACUCUGACUGAGCCCAGGAAUCCCCGGUAUGCCUUGACAAGUAGGAGCAGGUGCUUCUGAGUUCGUGAAGGGGAACAUGACACCCAAAAUCCGAGUGAAACAUCACAAUAUUUUGCAGUCCCUUUGGACUCACAGAUAACGUGCUCUUUAAUGAAAAAAAUUCUCAUAUUCGAGAAACUGCUGAGAAUGUCUAGGUUUUAUCUCUUCUCUCUUAUCAGAAAAACACAAUAGGUACAGAGAGCAUGAUAAUAUUUUAUGGUUUCUCUAUUAGCAGCUGUUUUUCAGCUUAAUGUGGCCUUGGAGACCUGGACUUGAAAGCAGCUUGUUUUCAACCAAGAAACAGAGCUGUUCUAUUGUAUGCAUUUUAUUUGUUCAGUCUGGAAAGAUGUAAGGACAGAGCAUACAUUAGAAAGAUUUUUGAUCCUCUAAAACCAUUCAUAGAUUCAAGUAAUUAACCAUACGAGAACCAUAAAACUGGAAGAUAUAAAGACUGACUCUGUAGCAGAUAUCCAACACCUAAAUUAAUUUCAUUCAUACGUUCGACAAAUGUCCCUUGUGUGCCCACGUGCCUGACACUACAAGGGGUUUCACACCAGGCAAGAGCAUGUGGGUCUCUUUACUAAGGAGGGAGGAGUUCAGGAAAUGCUCCUUCAAUGGGUAUGAACUGAAAUCUUGCAACUGUGAUCAUCUAAAAAAGCUGCAACUACAUAAAAAAGGAAAGAAUUCUUAAUUUCCUUAUACAGUCAACUCUCAAUUAUUCCAGGACCAGAAAAACAAGUUAUGGGUUACACAAGCCUCUUGCUUUUCAUUUCUUCCCACAGUGUCCAACUCAUUAUCAGUAUAGCCUACAUAUCCUUGGUUUGCAGUGAUUAAAAAGGAAAAUCCAAGCUGACAGCCAAGGAGAAAGUCUGGUAAAGAGACUCAGAAAAUAAGUGUUUGGUGAUUUUUAUCCAGCAGGAGAAGUUUUUUUUUUUUGCUCCAGAUUAUGAUCACUCUAAAAAGAUGUCUUCCAACAAAAGACUCGGUGACAUACAUAACUCUUUCCUCCUGGGGACACUGCCCUGAGCCGGGGAGGGCGUUUAUAUCUGGAGGAGAGUAAACCUCUUUAAAGUCCAGAAUGGCAGGGAUCUGGCAGGAGUGAGUGAAGCAAAGUGGUGAUGAGCGUAGGAGAGGGGAAGCUGGUAGAAGUUCUGAAGUGAAGUCUGAAAUGGAGACGAUGGGCAGAGAUUCAGAAAUUUUGCAGUGAAAAUAUUGACUCUCAUACGAGGAUGUGCCUGCCAAGAGUACUUGCUUUCUCUCCCUCAUAGCUGAACUCCGCCCAAGAACUCCAGCUGCAGCUCCUGUUCCCCCCACACACACCUUCCCUGACUCCCCACGUCCCCCUCUCCCUUAGCUCUGCCUGUCCACUUGUCACAGUACUGCCUGUGGCCAUUGACUAACUUACUCCACAUCUCCGGGUCUAUCUAAGUCUUAUCUUCCCAACCAGACUCUAAGUUCUUGAAGGUAAAUCCUGUCUUGCAGGAUUUUUACAGCCUCCCAGAACCCGUUUCCAUGCUCCUUAAAGUCCUAGUAAGUUUAUAAAGUUAUGUGCUAGACGGAAGGGGAUAGACCAAUUCUUAGCAUGGGGGAUGAGAUCUGGAACAGAGCUGGGUCCAGAAGGGGAGGUUCUUGGGAGUUGUCGACUGUAGGUGGAGGACAUUGUGUGCCUGGAAAGCUGAGUAGAAAAAGAGAGCAGAAAAUACCAGAAGAGAGAUGGAGGCAAACCAGGCCAAUUUGGCUCCAAGAGCUAGAGGUGAAAGUGGGUUUUCUCAUUUGUUUUCCAGGGUUUUUUUUGGUGAGGAAGACUGGCCCUGAGCUAACAUCUGUUGCCAAUCUUCCUCUUUUUGCUUGAGGAAGAUUGUUGCUUAGCCAAUAUCUGUGCCAACCUUCCUCUGUUUUUGAAUGUGGGAUGCCACCACAGCAUGGCCCAAGAAGCAGUGUGCAGGUCCGCCCAAGAUCCAAACCCACGAACCCCAGGCCGCUGAAGCAGAGGACGCAAACCCAACCACUACGCACCAGGCCAGCUCUAAGGUGAAGGUGUAAUUCAGCUCGAUGGCAAAUAUUCAAAGAGAGAUUUGGCUCGUGGACCCGAAAAGUCAGCUAAUUCUCAAUACUGAAAGAUAAUGAAUAUGUUAUUUUGAACAUAUGAACUAGAGCUGUAAGUGCAGAAUAGAUUUUAGAGCUGAAGAGCUUUAAAGACCUAAUCUUACACUUUUAAAGACAGAGACAUCCAAGAUUCCAAGGCAAAGGGCCCCAGCCAGUGUUACGAAAUAGACAAUGGGGCAGCCAAGAAGCCAGGUGUUCCACACCAUCAUGUUCCAUGCUUCAGACACUUAAUCAGAAAAAAGAAUUUCAACUAGCAACAAAAAAGGUAAAAGUGAAAUUUUCUGGCAAAAGUUUAAGUAGUGAGUUAGCAGUAGCAUUUAUUUGGAAAAUAUUUGCAUCGCUCCUUAAUUAGAAAAUAAAAUAUGAGAAACCUCAAGUACUAGUUAAAUA
rnacentral:lncRNA from 1 species